rnacentral:snRNA from 1 species
CAGCCCCAAUCGGGCGGU